rnacentral:lncRNA from 1 species
AUGACCCUCUGGUCUUCCUCUGAGCUGGGCUGUGUCUGGGAGCGAGGCCUGCACUCUGCACCUGUGAGAGCCACGAGGAGCCCACGUGAGCCUGGCAGAAGGUCAGAUGGCAAGAGCUGGUUCCUGAUGGAGCUGCCGAGGGCACGGAGGUCACUCUGCCAGUGGAAAACUCUCCCUCUCCAGGUAGAGACCCAAACACAGCCUUCCCCAGAGCACCUACUUUCAGGAUCACCGGGUCCCAUUCUGUGCUCCUGUGUGGGCUCCCUGUUKGGAGGACGCUGGCUUGAUGGUGAUCUGAAACAGUUAACAGUGAUAACUCUUCGCUUUACUUAUUUGUGACUUAUCACUGUUGCAGAUGGAGAAACAGCACUUAUGGAUUACUUUCUAUUCCCUGAUUCUGAGCUGAGACUUCUCCUUAGACAAUACCUUGGCUUUCAUAUUUACAUCUCUAGUGCCAGAUGGUACUUGCGUUCAUGUGUGUACUAGAUUUGUACCUGUAAUAGUCAAGCACAACGCUAUAUUUAAUAAUAACUGAUACCUACAGAGACCAAUGAACCUGAUUUUUAAGGCAAUGGAACAA